AAUUAUAUAGUCAAAUUAAUAAUGAUAUUAAAUUGCAAAUUUAAAGGUAAAUAAAUUAUUUUAUAAUUU
rnacentral:tRNA from 1 species